ACUGAAGCCAGGACUGGGUGAAAAACAAAACGAAUGAAUCCAUGCCCCAAAACACAGGUAAGCCCUGAGUACUUUAACCCAGCACCCUGGGCUAAGCCUCGGGUGGAUUUCUAGCAGACACUGACAUUUUCCACUGCUUUCCCAGGCAACUCCUCACAUAAGAGAUUUGGAUUUGUACAGAGAAGAAGAAAAACUAAAAGGAACUGGUAACAGACCGGGAAGGAUCUUUUAUUCUGUCUAGAAAAUCUACAUUCGAGACUUAAGAAGGGAAAGCAGCAGACACACUGCUUGGGCUUGUGUGCCAUCUGGCUUGACCCUGAUCCCUGACAACGGGAUGGCCACUGAGUGUGAAAAGUCAGACCGCUGUGAUCUACUUCAGCUUAAAAACUGCGCCUGAUUGAAGACAGCACAAGGAACAGUACAGGAGAGAGACCAAGCACACACGUGAACGUCACAUUCAUUUGUUCUGCAGUUCCAGAAACACGCUGAGAAGAAUGAAUCCCAG
rnacentral:lncRNA from 1 species